UCAAAAGUCAUGAGUGGUGCUGAGCCCUAGUGGCUCUGCCUGAUAUUACACCCAAGUCUUUUGCUGACUCGUUGUUUCCUCGGCGGUGCUAAGUCGCCCGCAUGGACCCAACAUAAACCUUUCUUGUAAUUUGCCAAUCAGCGUCAUUAAAUAUAAUUAAUUAUUUA
rnacentral:misc_RNA from 1 species